rnacentral:rRNA from 1 species
UCUGGCGACCUUAGCGGAGGUGUUACACCCGAACCCAUUCCGAACUCGGCAGUUAAGCCCUCCAGCGCCGAUGGUACUACUCGCGUGAGCGUGUGGGAGAGUAGGACGUUGCCAGAU